ACAGUCAGAGCUCAAACAGAGCAAUUAAUUUCCAGGUCAGUAACUCUUGGUAUUGGACCAAACUAGUGAGCACUGUCAAGCUGGCACUCAAACCAUCACUACAAGCUCUGUGCUUCAGACACAGAACUGGGAAAAUCUAUGGGCCAUGGGAAAUGAGGUCAGGGAAGAACCAGGGAAAAAAAGAAAACACAAAAAUUUUUAUCCUUUUUUUUUUUUUGUAAAAAGUGAUGCAAGAACUUAAAUCAUUAGUGGGACAGAAGCUUUAACCAUUAAAAUCUAAAACCCUAACUAAUGUAAGCUCUCGUACUAACCUGGGCAACAUCUGCGAUGCAAGGUAACAGCAGUGAGUGGAAAAAGUUAUUUUACAAAUAUAUUACUUCGAAAGAAUUUCUCUUUUAGAGAAAACACAAGAGGAACAAUGCUGGACGUGGCAGGAAACCGGCCAACACUUCAAAUGAAAACAGUCAAACUCGAUGUAUUUCCCUGCUAAAGCAGCACAGCCUCGGCCGCCUGGUUUCCUUCGCUCGCUCUAACACUGCACAGCAAGUAGUGCCUGUGUGGGGGGACAGGCACCCUCACCGCUGCCUUUUCCAAGUGCUUUCCGUCGCCAAACGCAUUUCACGGACGUUUUCUUUCCAUUUCUCGUCACUUCCAAAGCCUUUGCACGCACAGAGCGGCUGCAAAGCUCUCAGGGACCGGGAAAUAAACGAGAUGAAAGCACGUCGGGUUAAAGAGCCUUGAAAAGAUUUCGCAACGGGAAGGAGGAAGAAGCUGCGAAUCUCUGAAGUGCCGGCCCAGGGAAUAAAGGCACCGUCAUUCCUCUGGGAAGUUUUGGGGAGCCCUUCCCAACGAGAGGGGCACAGUUCCAGCUCUGGUGUUGGGCUGAUGGUGUCCUCAGGACUACAGAUCUUGUCUAUAAAACCACUGUGAAAGCCACCCCAAAGAGAUGUGUUCCUGUCUGUCUGUCUGCCUGUCUGUUAUAGUGGUCAAACUAUUUUAACAAAAGCUGAUCAACAGUGUUUGAAUUGGAGAGAAGAAAGGAAGGAAAUGAUGUGUGGACAGGGAGAGUCAAUCAUCUGAAAGAUCAGUUCCAACAGAUUCAUGGAAAUUAGCCUCUUUCAUCAUCAUCAGGCACCAGUGAUGCUCUUGCAGGCAGUUGGCUACACAAACAAGGACUGGGCAAACCAGGAAAAUUCAGGACCAAAGUUAGUGGGGUGCACAUUAUUUUAGCACCCAAACUGAAAAGCCAGUAUGGUCAAAUAAUGAUUUGUGUUUGUUUGCAUUUUUUGUUCAUAAUUAGUCCACAGUGCUUUGAGUUGGCUGUACCAACAGAGCAUUUCCUGAGGGACAACUAGUCCCCAUCCUUCCAACGCUUCCAUUACAGGAAAGAUGGUUUUGGCAAAAGUUAACAAUACUUGACAGAAUAGAUUUUUAAGUCAUUGGUGUUUUAUUUGCCUCAGUGAGCAGAUCUGCUACACAGAGGUGCUUUUCUGAGGUACUUCUCAUACACCAAGAAGUGAUUCAGUUUCUCUUUAGGGUCUUCAAUGGCCUGGUGAGUUGGGAGAUUAGGGUUUUGUGUCUCAUCAUAGUGUUGUUUUCAUUAUAUUCCCACUGUUCAUUUUUUAAUGCUCUCUUCAAGAGCUGAUAAAGAACUACAAAGUUACUUUUAAAGCAUUUAUUGUAGUGGUUGAUGAUAAUGUAGCUUCACAGACCAGUCAGACAUACUAGCCUAAACUUUCUCCUGUUACAGGCCGGGGAGUUUCACUCGGUAUGUGCCAUGUGCAGAUUCUACUUUUUGGUGAAAGUAGGUAUUUUUAGUCUGUGAUAGAAAAAAAAAAAGAAUCUAUUAUUUACUUAAUGACUUCAAACAAGAAGCAGCCCAG